UGGGGAAUAUUGGACAAUGGGCGAAAGCCUGAUCCAGCCAUGCCGCGUGUGUGAAGAAGGUCUUCGGAUUGUAAAGCACUUUAAGUUGGGAGGAAGGGCAGUUACCUAAUACGUGAUUGUUUUGACGUUACCGACAGAAUAAGCACCGGCUAACUCUGUGCCAGCAGCCGCGGUAAUACAGAGGGUGCAAGCGUUAAUCGGAAUUACUGGGCGUAAAGCGCGCGUAGUUGGUUUGUUAAGUUGGAUGUGAAAUCCCCGGGCUCAACCUGGGAACUGCAUUCAAAACUGACUGACUAGAGUAUGGUAGAGGGUGGUGGAAUUUCCUGUGUAGCGGUGAAAUGCGUAGAUAUAGGAAGGAACACCAGUGGCGAAGGCGACCACCUGGACUAAUACUGACACUGAGGUGCGAAAGCGUGGGGAGCAAACA
rnacentral:rRNA from 1 species